rnacentral:tRNA from 1 species
CUUCAGGGAGCUGUAAUUAGCAUUAGACUUUUAAUCUAAAGAAAAUACUUAGUUAUUCCUGAUGA